rnacentral:lncRNA from 1 species
UUGUUACCUGCCGGAUACAGCUUUACCUGGGAAGCAGUACUUAUUGUUUUUGUCAUAUCUGGAAUUAUAUAGAUCCAAUGAACCUGAUAUUUGAACCAAUAGAAAGCUAACUCAAGUGGCAAUAAUUUAUCUGUUUAUAAUAAGUCCAAAUUCGCUACACAAUGUAUCUAAAAAUUUGCAUCAAGUUGCAUGUUUCAGCUGUCUUGAAGCUGGACAGAAGCAAGUUGCAUUGCCUACUUGAAUUUUGGAUGUUCCUUUGCCUAUAAAAGGGGACCUUGGCCACGAUUUUG